rnacentral:rRNA from 1 species
AUGGGUGGCGGCGGUGGCUGUGGAUGUGGAGACGGGGACGGCGACGGCAACUUGGUGCUGCCCUGCCAGUCCCCUCCGCUCGCCGAGGUCACCCUCGCCCUCGUCGGUAAGAUCGGCACCGGCAAGAGCGCCACCGCCAACUGCAUCCUCGGGACCCACGCCUUUGCGUCGGAGUUAGCCUACGUAAGCGUCACCGAGACCUGCCAGAAGAGCAGCGCCACCUUCCACGACGGCUAUGGCGCCACCCGCACCGUCAACGUCAUUGACACCCCAGGCUUAUUUGACAUGGAGAUUUCGAUCGAGGAUGCCCGUAAAGAGAUUGUAAAGUGCAUUGACAUGAGCAAAGAUGGCAUACAUGCUAUGCUUAUUGUGUUCUCAGCCACAUCACGGUUUUCUUGUGAAGAGCAGAAUACAGUUGAGUCAAUUAAACGGUUUUUUGGUGACAAAAUCGUCAACCACAUUAUAUUAGUUUUCACACAUGGAGAUGCGGUUGGGGAUGAAGUUGCCUGGAAGAAAAUGCUAGCUGUGAGGUCCCCGGUUUAUCUCCAGGACAUGAUAAAGCUAUGCCAAAAUAGGGUUUUUCUCUUUGACAACAUGACCAGUAAUAUUGAGCGCCGUGAGAUGCAACGUCGGAAAUUGCUUGAUGCAGUUGACUUUGUUAUAUCAAGUAAUGGUGGCACAUCAUUUUCCUACAAGAUGCUCCCUCACAUUCAGGAAGCAAAUGAUGGACAAAGUGAGAAUAGUACCGGUGGAUAUUCUGCAGAAAGGAUAUAUGAACAAUUGACACAGAUAACCAAGAAGGUUGAUGAAAACCUGAACAGUACAGAAGAGGAGAUCCAGAGGCUCAAGGAGAGGCUGGAGAAAUCUCAGAAAGAGCAUGAUAAUGUCAAACAAGAAAUGACAAAUGCAGAGAACCUGAGAAGGCUAGAGGAGCAGAAGAUGAAGGAGCAGAAAGUGGAGAUCAACAAUCUGAGAGAGGAACUUGAGAAGGCAAGGCAGGUAGAGAUGGAGCGCAAGGAGAAGGAGAUCCAGAGGCUCAUGGAGAGCCUGGACCUGGCAAACAAGGAGAAGGACAACUACAGAACGAUGUACGAGAACAAGUGCAUUGUUAUGUGA